rnacentral:rRNA from 1 species
UACGAAGGGUGCAAACGUUGCUCGGAAUCAUUGGGCGUAAAGCGCACGUAGGCGGCCUUGCAAGUCGGAUGUGAAAUCCCUCGGCUCAACCGAGGACGUGCAUUCGAAACUGCUUGGCUCGAGUAUGGAAGAGGGUCGCGGAAUUCCCGGUGUAGAGGUGAAAUUCGUAGAUAUCGGGAGGAACACCAGUGGCGAAGGCGCGACCUGGGCCCAUACUGACGCUGAGGUGCGAAAGCGUGGGGAGCAAACAGG